rnacentral:rRNA from 1 species
AUUGAACGCUGGCGGCAUGCCUUACACAUGCAAGUCGAACGGUAACGGGUCCUUCGGGAUGCCGACGAGUGGCGAACGGGUGAGUAAUACAUCGGAACGUGCCUAGUAGUGGGGGAUAACUACUCGAAAGAGUGGCUAAUACCGCAUGAGAUCUACGGAUGAAAGCAGGGGAUCGCAAGACCUUGUGCUACUAGAGCGGCCGAUGGCAGAUUAGGUAGUUGGUGGGAUAAAAGCUUACCAAGCCGACGAUCUGUAGCUGGUCUGAGAGGACGAUCAGCCACACUGGGACUGAGACACGGCCCAGACUCCUACGGGAGGCAGCAGUGGGGAAUUUUGGACAAUGGGCGAAAGCCUGAUCCAGCAAUGCCGCGUGCAGGAUGAAGGCCUUCGGGUUGUAAACUGCUUUUGUACGGAACGAAAAGCCCCGGGUUAAUACCCUGGGGUCAUGACGGUACCGUAAGAAUAAGCACCGGCUAACUACGUGCCAGCCGCCGCCGUAA